rnacentral:rRNA from 1 species
UACGAAGGGUGCAAGCGUUACUCGGAAUUACUGGGCGUAAAGCGUGCGUAGGUGGUUUGUUAAGUCUGCUGUGAAAGCCCCGGGCUCAACCUGGGAAUGGCAGUGGAUACUGGCAAGCUAGAGUGCGGUAGAGGGUAGUGGAAUUCCCGGUGUAGCGGUGAAAUGCUUAGAUAUCGUCAAGAACACCGAUAGUGAAGACAGCUAACUAGACUUAUACUGACGCUGAGGCACGAAAGUGUGGGGAUCAAACAGG